UACGUAGGUGGCAAGCGUUGUCCGGAAUUACUGGGCGUAAAGCGUGCGCAGGCGGUUGUGCAAGACCGAUGUGAAAUCCCCGGGCUUAACCUGGGAAUGGCAUUGGUGACUGCACGGCUAGAGUGUGUCAGAGGGGGGUAGAAUUCCACGUGUAGCAGUGAAAUGCGUAGAGAUGUGGAGGAAUACCGAUGGCGAAGGCAGCCCCCUGGGAUAACACUGACGCUCAUGCACGAAAGCGUGGGGAGCAAACAGG
rnacentral:rRNA from 1 species